rnacentral:rRNA from 1 species
GAGACCCAUGCCUUUAGUUACAAACUUACUCUUCGGAGUAGGUGUACUCUAGAGGGACUGCCCGUGCUAAAUGGGAGGAAGGAGUGGGCGACGGUAGGUCAGUAUGGUCCGAAACCUUUGGGCUACACGCGGCAUACAGUGGCCGGAACAAUGGGAUGCAACUCCGAGAGGAGGAGCUAACCCCCUAAAUCCGGUCGUGGUCCGGAUCGAGGGUUGAAACUCACCCUCGUGAAGAUGGAAUGGCUAGUAAUCGCGGGUCACUAUCCCGCGGUGAAUGC